rfam:Glycine max cultivar Williams 82 chromosome 1, whole genome shotgun sequence.
GGCUUAUUAACUUAGUUGGUUAGAGUGUCAUGCUAAUAAUGUGAAAGUCACAGGUUUGACUCUUGCUUUAACUA